rnacentral:rRNA from 1 species
AUUGAACGCUGGCGGCAUGCCUUACACAUGCAAGUCGAACGGUAACAGGUCUUCGGACGCUGACGAGUGGCGAACGGGUGAGUAAUACAUCGGAACGUGCCCAGUCGUGGGGGAUAACUACUCGAAAGAGUAGCUAAUACCGCAUACGAUCUGAGGAUGAAAGCGGGGGACCUUCGGGCCUCGCGCGAUUGGAGCGGCCGAUGGCAGAUUAGGUAGUUGGUGGGAUAAAAGCUUACCAAGCCAACGAUCUGUGGCUGGUCUGAGAGGACGACCAGCCACACUGGGACUGAGACACGGCCCAGACUCCUACGGGAGGCAGCAGUGGGGAAUUUUGGACAAUGGGCGAAAGCCUGAUCCAGCAAUGCCGCGUGCAGGAUGAAGGCCCUCGGGUUGUAAACUGCUUUUGUACGGAACGAAAAAGUCUCCUCUAAUACAGGAGGCCCAUGACGGUACCGUAAGAAUAAGCACCGGCUAACUACGUGCCAGCCGCCGCGGUAA